rnacentral:rRNA from 1 species
CUGAACCAGCCAAGUAGCGUGAAGGAUGACUGCCCUAUGGGUUGUAAACUUCUUUUAUACGGGAAUAAGGUGAGGCACGUGUGCCUUUUUGUAUGUACCGUAUGAAUAAGGAUCGGCUAACUCCGUGCCAGCAGCCGCGGUAAUACGGAGGAUCCGAGCGUUAUCCGGAUUUAUUGGGUUUAAAGGGAGCGUAGGCGGACGCUUAAGUCAGUUGUGAAAGUUUGCGG